rnacentral:rRNA from 2 species
GGGGAGGUGCGAAUACCCUUUGAUCCGACGAUUUCCGAAUGGGGCAACCCACCUUAGAUAACUAGAAAAUUUGAGCUGUUGGAGCUUUGGUUUUGUUUUGAUGCGGCUUGUAUCGAAGCGAAGCUUCGCAAGCGCGACUGCGCGUCGGCCCAUGUGGGCCGCCCCCGCGGAGCGCCAGCAUUCUGCAAGAAUGCGGUACGGCGCGUGAGCGAGAAAAUCCUGCGAGAACAUCUCAUCUUUCUAGUUAUCGUAAUAAGGUAUCUAACUCUGAAUACAUAGGGGUUAGAAGCGAACCUGGGGAACUGAAAC